UCCUGGAGAUGGACAGGUAUGCAACGU
rnacentral:piRNA from 1 species